rnacentral:rRNA from 1 species
AUAUUUAAAUUUCAAGAAAUAAAUACUAAUUAAAACCGUACUCAAUCCGACUCAGGUGAACAAGCAUAAAUGUGCUAAGACUUUGUAAGAACUAUUUAGAAGGAACUCGGCAAAAUUACUUUGUAACUUCGGGAUAAAAAGGGCCUUUGAUAAGGUAGCAUGAAAUUGAAAGUAGCGACUGUUUAGCAAAAACAUAGGUCUUUGCAAACUUGUAAAAGGUUGUAUAAGGACUGACGCCUGCCCAGUGCUGAAUAAUUAAAAUAAAAAGUAUUUGCUUUGAAUAUAAGUUUCAGUAAACGGCCGCGGUAAUUCUGACCGUGCUAAGGUAGCGAAAUUCCUUGGUCACUAAUUAUGAUCCUGCAUGAAAGGCGUAACGACUGCUUUACUGUCUCCUAAAUAGAUACAGUGAAAUUGCAAUCUUUGUGAAGAUGCAAAGUAAAAAAGAUUGGGCGAGAAGACCCUAUAGACCUUAACUGCACUUUUUUAUUGCUUUUCUUUUUAAAUUGUACAAGCAAAUGGGAGAGUUUAAAAACUCUAAAGAUGAAAAACCGUUCUUUUUAAAAAGAAAAGCUAACUUAGCUUUUAGCAAGGACAUUGAAAAACUGGUAGUUUAUCUGGGGCGGAUUCCUCCUAAAGUGUAACGGAGGAGCACAAAGGCAAAUAAAUUCUCGUAAAUAAAAGAAUUUAAAUGUGUAAUGGCAAAAAUUUGCUUUACUGUGAGAAAGAUAUUUCAAACAGUAGUUUAAUAGCUGGUCAUAGUGAUCCGGUAGUUUUGAAAGGAAAAGCUAUCGCUCAACAAAUAAAAGGUACCUUAGGGAUAACAGGCUUAUGUUUUUUUAGAGCUCUUAUCGACAAAAACGUUUGGCACCUCGAUGUCGGUUUAACAUUUCCUGGUGGUGCAGAAGCUGCCAAGGGUUUGGCUGUUCGCCGAUUAAAAUGUUACAUGAACUGGGUUCAGAACGCCGUGAGGCAGUUUGGUCUCUACCCUUCUUUUUAUUAAGAGAAUAAAAAACACAUUUUACUAGUACGAGAGGACCGUAAGAUAUUAAUCACUGGUGUACCUGUUGUUUAAAAAAGCAUCGCAGGGUAGCUACAUUUAAUUUAAGAUAACUGUUGAAAGCAACUUAAACAGGAAACUUCGUUUUUAAAUCUCUAAAAACUGAGAAAGAUAUAAUCUCAUUGAUAGGUUUGGUGUGUAUAAAAGGAUAACUUUAAAGCUUACAAAUACUAAAUUUA